rnacentral:RNase_P_RNA from 2 species
CAAGUAAAUCGCCUUAUCGCUCUGCAUGAAAGUGUAGGGAGGAAAGUCCGAACACCAAAGUGCAACAUAGUGGUUAAUGGCCACCGGUCGUGAGAUUAGGAAAAGUGCAACAGAAAGCAAGUACAGGUUAAGCUGUAGUGAAAUCAGGUAAACUCUAUGUGGUGCAAUGUCAUGUAUACCAACGUUUGAGGGCUGCACGUUCGAUUGUUGGAGGGUAGACAGCUAAAGUGUAUUGGUAACAAUGCAUUCAGAUAAAUGAUAAGGGUCACGCCUUGGCGCGAUACAGAAUUCGGCUUAUAGAUUUACUUGUAAA